AAGCCUAAUGGCCUAGAUCGGAGGGGUCGUGGUAAUAGCACCGUUGGUGGUUCUUCGGAUGCUUCUCAGUCCCAAGGCGCACAAGCAUGGGGGGGUUACCAUAACGAUCUAGGAGACAGCUU
rfam:Cucumber leaf spot virus, complete genome.